UACGUAGGGGGCAAGCGUUGUCCGGAAUUACUGGGCGUAAAGGGCGUGUAGGCGGCCGAUCAAGUCAGGUGUGAAAUUCCAGAGCUCAACUCUGGACGUGCACUUGAAACUGGUUGGCUUGAGUGCAGAAGAGGAAAGUGGAAUUCCCAGUGUAGCGGUGAAAUGCGUAGAUAUUGGGAGGAACACCAGUGGCGAAGGCGACUUUCUGGUCUGUAACUGACGCUGAGGCGCGAAAGCUAGGGGAGCAAAC
rnacentral:rRNA from 1 species